CAUGUAAUUCUUAUAAGAUUUAACACAUUAUUAUUAUUAUUAUCUUUGUCUUUUUAGGGCUGCACCUGCAGCAUUUGGAAGCUCCCUAGGUGGGUAGGGGGAGAAUCGAAGCUGCAACUGCUGGCGUACACCAUAGCAACAGCAAUGCCAGAUCCAAGCCAUGUCUGCAAUCUACACCACAGCUCACGGCAAUGCUGGAUCCUUAACCCACUGAGCAGGGCCAGGGAUCGAACCCAUGUCCUCAUGAAUACUAGUCGGGAAUCCCAGGUUUAACACAUUAUAAUGUUACUUUCUUCCAUUAAAAUUAACAGAGCUCUAUUUAACAAACUAUUUUUUAAUACUUAAUAAAUUUAAAAUUCAGGCACAAUUCCAUCAAUCAAAUGAAUAAACUGUUUUGUUUCCUUCUUAUAUGUAAACAUACUUAUUUACAUAAUUAUAACCAUAGUGUAGACUUAAGUUUGUUGUUUGCCUUUUCCCCUUGACUUAUAAACAUUUUCCCCAUGUUACUCUUUAGUGUUCAUUAUAAAACUUAAGAUGAUAUUCCAUAAUUUGCCUAAAACCAUUGUAUCUGUCAUUGUCCUACUGAGAAACAGAAUCGGUAGAAUUCUUUUGUAGGGAAGCUCUUGAGGCCUUUCAACUGUUUGGAUGAAGCAUACCCAAGUUAUGAAGGAUAGGCUCCUUUGUUUAAAGUCAACUAAAUGUAGAUGUUUACCAUAUCUGUAAAAUACCUUCACAGGAGCACCUAGAUUAGUGUUUAAUUAAACAACUGUACACUGUACCAGUGCAAAAUUGACAUAUAAAACUAACCAUCAUGGUCAUUUAGGUUUUUUCCCUGUUAUUAAUCACACUGUAAUUUUAUACAUAACACUAUCUGUAGUUUUCUCCUUUGAAAGGUUAUUUCUUUGGAAUCAAUUCCGAUAGGUGGAAGGAAUAUGGAUCAAGGGAUGUGAAGACCUAGUUGGCUCUUGACAGGAUUUAAUAUUUGCAAACUGAGGAGUUUCCACUGUGGUGCAGUGGAAAUGAAUCUGACUAGUAUCCAUGAGGAUGCGGGUUUGAGCCCUGGCCUCGCUCAGUGGGUUAGGGAUCUGGCUUUGCUGUGAGCUGUGGUGGAGGUGGCAGACUUGGCUCAGGUCUGUAGUGGCUGUGGCUGUGUAGGCUAGCAGCUGUAGCUCCAAUUCAACCCUUAGCUUGGAAACCUUCAUAUGCUGCGGGUACAGCCAUUAAAGCAAAAAAAAAAAAAAAAAGUAUAUAUAUAUUUGCAAACUGAAAAUACCACCACAGCCUUUCUUUUAAUGAUUUCUUCAGAAUUGAUCUUUAUUCAACUGACUCAUUUCCCAUUUCCAAAAGCUUGUCCCCCACCCCAUGAUUUCUACCUCUGGAAAUAGCUGCUUUUCUUCAGAGUAUCUUCAGUUCUCCACUCAGUCUUCACCUGUCACUUUCUCCCCUGUGCUUUUGCUUCUCCUCCCCCGCCCUGGUCUCAUUUAUCACAGAUAAAAUAGAAGAUUUAUAUUCCUACUUCUGAAUCUGAGAAUUUUCUUGAAUUUGUUCCUGUUUUUGCCUUAGCUCCUUUCUUUACAAUGAAGGAAAUGAUUCUCAUUGAAGGAAAGACCUGAUCCUUCAUGUGUUUUUAGAUUCCUUCCUGUGGUACCAUCUUAGAAACUUCUUAGAACAUUUCUUAGAAACUUUCUUCACUGCCUGUUUACAUUUUGCUUUCUCCUGAGUUAUCAUAAGCAGCAUUCAAGUGUUUUAUUUAAAGGAAAACAGUUUACCCCUUUUCCACCAAACAGAAGUGCUCUCUGAUCCCAUGUCAGCCUUCAGCUAAAUGAUAUCUUUGCUUUCCUUCAAAGCUCGUUGUCUUUAAAUAGCUGUUUACAACUUCUGCUUCUAAUUCCUUACCUCCUAUUUACUUGGCAUCUCUUCCACUCUAUUCACCUCUUUGUGCUAAAGCCCAUAAUGACCCUUAUGGUGCCACAUAUACUUGGAAAAAAAAAAAAGGCAAACAACCCCCAAACCAUAGCCACACAUAUACCAUCACCCUUCCCAUUAUCCUUUAAUAUCAUCAAAAUAUGUAUUUGUGCAAAUGUCAUACUUUUUUUUUUUUUGACAGCUUGAAACAUAAGGGCUCCACAGAGAGAUUGGUUCAUAUGUCUUCUUUAAUCUCUAAAUUCCAUCUCAAUCUCUUUUUCCCUCCUUUCACAUUAUUUGUUGAAGAAACCAGUGGUCCUGUAGAGUUUCUCACUAACCAGGAUAUAAUAAGUUCAUUGGUCCUAUAUAUUACUUAUAAAUUAGUAUCUAGAGAUCAGAUUCAGGUUUUUUGUUUUGUUUUGUUGCAUGACCACUUCAUAGGUAUUGGUGUGUUCCUUCAUUAAGAUGUUCACAGUGCUUGGAUGGCCCUCUUUUUAAAGUGUGGUUAGCAGCCACAGAAUUUCCUUUUCAUUCUCAUCUUUCUGGACCUCUCAGUAUAUUUCCCUUUCUUGAUUACGCCUUCUUUAAAAAUAAUCUUUUGUGGAGUUCCUUUGGUGAGUCAGUGAUAAUGAACCUGACUAGGGUUCAUGAGGACGCAGGUUCGAUCCUUGCCCUUGCUCAGUGGGUUAAGGAUCUGGUGUUCCUGUGAGCUGUGGUGUAGGCCACAGAUGAUCUGCCGUGGCUCUGGCUUAGGCCAGCAGCUACUACAGAUCCAAUUG
ensembl:lncRNA